UUGAAGAACGCAGCGAAAUGCGAUACGUAAUGUGAAUUGCAGAAUUCAGUGAAUCAUCGAGUCUUUGAACGCACAUUGCGCCCCCUGGUAUUCCGGGGGGCAUGCCUGUCCGAGCGUCAUUGCUGCCCUCAAGCACGGCUUGUGUGUUGGGCCUCCGUCCUCCUCCCGGGGGACGGGCCCGAAAGGCAGCGGCGGCACCGCGUCCGGUCCUCGAGCGUAUGGGGCUUCGUCACCCGCUCUUGUAGGCCCGGCCGGCGCUUGCCGACACAUCAAUCUUUUUUCCAGGUUGACCUCGGAUCAGGUAGGGAUACCCGCUGAACUUAAGCAUAUCAAUAAGCGGAGGA
rnacentral:misc_RNA from 1 species